rnacentral:rRNA from 1 species
AACGAACGCUGGCGGCAUGCCUAACACAUGCAAGUCGAACGAGACCUUCGGGUCUAGUGGCGCACGGGUGCGUAACGCGUGGGAAUCUGCCCUUUGCUUCGGAAUAACAGUUAGAAAUGACUGCUAAUACCGGAUGAUGUCGAAAGACCAAAGAUUUAUCGGCAAAGGAUGAGCCCGCGUAGGAUUAGGUAGUUGGUGGGGUAAAGGCCUACCAAGCCGACGAUCCUUAGCUGGUCUGAGAGGAUGAUCAGCCACACUGGGACUGGGACACGGCCCAGACUCCUACGGGGGGCAGCAGUGGGGAAUAUUGGACAAUGGGCGAAAGCCUGAUCCAGCAAUGCCGCGUGAGUGAUGAAGGCCUUAGGGUUGUAAAGCUCUUUUACCAGGGAUGAUAAUGACAGUACCUGGAGAAUAAGCUCCGGCUAACUCCGUGCCAGCCGCCGCCGUAACAC